UCUCCGUUGGUGAACCAGCGGAGGGAUCAUUACAGAGUUUAUUAUAACUCCUAAACCCAUGUGAACCUACCUUCUGUUGCCUCGGCAGGCAAGUCGUAUCUUGCUACCCUAUAGGACCCUAUCUUGUAAGACGUUACCUUAUAAUGUCCUAGCCGGUAGAGAGAUGCGGUACUACCUGCCGGUGGACUGAAAAAAAAAAUUCUGUUUAAUAAAUGGUAUUCUGAAUCAUUAUAUGGAAAUUAAGUUAAAACUUUCAACAACGGAUCUCUUGGUUCUG
rnacentral:misc_RNA from 1 species